CGGUCCUAGUGGCACCGAGGGACCCCUUCCCGUCGCGAAGGCCCUCGCCCCCCGCCCCGGCGCGCGCGCACACACACACACGCGCGCACACACACGCACUCACUCACACACACUCACGCCGCGCUCAGACACCGCCUCACCUCUCGCUCCGCCCGUCCGGCCCGGGUCCCUGCCCCCUGCGGGACCGGCCUGCGCGCUCGGCUGGAACCACGUAGGAGGCGGCGGCGGCCGCCGCGGGAGUGGCGGAGUCUCCGGCCGGCCCGGAGUGAAGGAGCAGCGGGGCUCCGGGGCGCAUCCCAGUCCCCGCAGCGCCUCCUCCUCCGCCGCCGCCUCCUCCUUCCCCUCCUCCUGGCUUCAUUCACCCUUCCAGUCGCCGCUCAGCCGUUCACUCCCGGUCCGAAAAUCUGCUUUGGGCAUUCAACUACAGGGCUCCAGCCGUGACGACCCGCGCACUCCUCUCGCAGCUAAUUCGGGAUCAUUAAUUUAAUCGGAAGUGAGCCUCUAGUGGACGGUUAACAUCAGUUUCCUGUAAAGGCUCUGCCUGGUUUUGUUUUCGUUGACUUGCCUUAUCGAGGUGAAGGUUAAUAGUUCAGAACAAAACCGGGUACUAUACACCGCCCCGCGUUGGGCUUUGCCACUUCUGAAAGGAACAGAAGCUUGCUGACUCAGCAUGGAAGAGUACUGGGGCUCAAACCCAGACCCUCACAGAUUCUAGGCAAAUAGUGUACCACUGAGCUACACUAUGAGUCCCGAAAAAACUCAGGGCCAUAAGCACAGAUGGAGAGAGUAUCCUGAGUGAGUGUCUCUUAUCUGAAUACUUCCCAUUACUCCCAAACCCCUUGGACCUUGGCUUACAAUGCCAGCCUGCGAGUUGAAUGGAGUCUGCCAAGUAGGUGGACCCUAAAUCCUAAGAAGAGAAGACACCAAAACACAGGAGGCACCAGGCAGGUGGCCAUGUGAAGUUUCUGGAGUCACAGUGCCGGCAGACACCCAAAGCUGGAAGAGGCGGAAAGCUUUCUUCAGAACCUGGGCCCUUCAGAGAGUCUAACUCUGAUGACACCUCCAUUUCAGACUUCUGACCUCCAGAACAGCCAGAAAGUCAUUUAUUUUGCUUUAAGUCGCCCUCUUGGUGGUCAUUUGUAAUAGCAGCCCUAGAAAUUGAAAAUGUUCUCCUAAUAAGAUCCAUGAUUAGAGAUUUGCUGCAAUUUUUCUUUCUUCUCUAAUUACGUAGGUAGCCCUAUCUCUUUGCCCUUUGGAUACACCUAGGUGAUCUGUUCUGAGUGUGUAUCUGACCUCGCACCCAUGGCAAUAUCAAGAAACAAAAGGCCCAUUGGAAUAGGAGGGCUAUCUGGAGAGUUCCAGAAACACCGUCUGGUUCUGGCCCCAGACACAAAGGCUACUGGAAGAGGUCUGCACAGGCCGCAGACCAGGCCUCAGUGCAAAGGUCUUCCACGGGCCUCUGCAGCUCCCUCUGCUGGGCGACAGGACACAUAGCCGCUCUGCCCCUCAGAAACCCUGUGGCGGUGUGUGAGGUCAAGGUGAAGGGGCUGAAAAAAAAAUGUAUUAGCUGUUUGGCAUCCAGCAAGUGCAACCAAGAAACUGGCUGCCUCUAAAAAAAAAGAAAAGAAAAGAAAAAAUAUUGCUUUGAGCAGAUCUCAUGCAAUCAGGGCACAGGAAUUUAAACCACAUUCAGCCCUUUGAUUUCCCCAGAUCUGGCUAAGGGAGGGUUUCCAUAUUUGCCCUCAAGAAAACACUGCUUUUGUCUGAUUCCCAUAUUUCAAAAAACAUCUGCAAGCUUGCUUGUCUCAGGAGGUCUCCCCAGCAGGCAGAAGGAGGUCUUCCACUCAAGCCCAGAAUCCCGACGCAUCCCUUCUAUCAAAGUCUCCAUGAGAUGCUCCUCACAGCUUUCAUUUACGCAUCUCAGUCAAUGGCAACUCUGUCCUUCCAGUUGUUCAGGCCAAAACCCCUUGGAGACAGCACGACUCCUGCCUCUCAGACCCCACAUCCAAUCUGCCCAGCAAUCCAGUUGGCUCUGUCUUUAAAGGACAUCUGGGAUCUGGCCAUUUCUUACCACUGUCCUCUGCAGGGAUGGUUGUCCUGAACUCUUAAACUGUCUGCCACCAUCACCAGCCUACACCACAUUCUAGUGUAUGCAUCAGGUGAUGGACAGCCCUGCUUAGAACCUUCCCACUGUCUCCACGUGCAGUGGAAUCAAAGCCCUUCCAUGAUCCUCAGGGCCUUAUGCAGGCAGCACACCCUGGAGCCUUGGGAUCUCAAGGUGCCCCCGUACCUCCAGCCUCUCUGUCCCCUUUGCUGGUGUUUACAUAAGCCAGUUGCUCUCUCGCUUCAGGACCUUUCUCACUGCUUCCUCUUCUAGGAAUGCUUUUCCUGUAGAUAUUCACAUGGUUCACUCCUCCACCAUUUCCAGUCUUUCUUCUAAGCAAUAAACCCCCAGUGAGGCCUGCUGUGACCACCUUACUUAAAAUUGUACCCUCUGACUUUACUGAUCCACCUUGCCCUGCUCAUUUAUUCCAGAAAUGUAUUACCUUGUAAAAUUCUAUGCCAUUUACUGUUUUGUUGUUGUUAGUUUGGAAGUCAGGGAUCUUUGUCAGUGUUAAUCAUCUAGAACAGUUCUUGGCACAUGAUAGACACUCACUAAAUAGCCAUUGACUAUUAAAUGAAUCAACAAAUGAAUCAGUAAUACUUUUCCAGGGCCUACUACGUGCAAAGCCUGAUCAGCCCACGGCACAACAAUCGUCUCACUAGAAGCUGAUUCAAAGCAAAUCCACCUUGUCUAAGCCUUGACGCAUAUUCGAUUCACUUGUUCUUUGACCUAAUCACGUCGGAUGUGACUCUUAGAGCUAAGAAUGAGCUCAGUCUCACACCAAGGCUCAAAUUUAUAAAAAGACCUUUUAAAAAGCAAAA